rnacentral:rRNA from 1 species
CAAUAGCGUAUAUUUAAGUUGUUGCAGUUAAAAAGCUCGUAGUUGGAUUUCGGCUUUGGGCGACCGGUCCGCCGUUUCGGUGUGCACUGGUCGGCCUUUGCUUUCUGUCGGGGACGCGCUCUCCUUAAUUGGGGACGCGGAGUCGGCGCUGUUACUUUGAAAAAAUUAGAGUGUUCAAGGCAGGCUUACGCUCUGAAUACUAUAGCAUGGAAUAACACGAUAGGACUCCGAGCCUAUUUUGUUGGUCUUCGGGACCGGAGUAAUGAUUAAGAGGGACAGUUGGGGGCAUUCGUAUUCCGAUGUUAGAGGUGAAAUUCUUGGAUUUUCGGAAGACGAACUUCUGCGAAAGCAUUUGCCAAGGAUGUUUUCAUUAA